AACGUAGGGGGCCAGCGUUGCUCGGAAUUACUGGGCGUAAAGGGUCCGUAGGCGGUGUGGCAAGUCGGAAGUGAAAUCUCUGGGCUUAACCCAGAGGCUGCUUCCGAAACUGCUGUGCUAGAGGAUGAGAGAGGCGAGUGGAAUUGCGGGUGUAGCGGUGAAAUGCGUAGAUAUCCGCAGGAACAUCCGAGGCGAAGGCGGCUCGCUGGAUCAUUUCUGACGCUGAGGGACGAAAGCUAGGGGAGCAAACAG
rnacentral:rRNA from 1 species